rnacentral:rRNA from 1 species
UACGGAGGGUGCAAGCGUUAAUCGGAAUUACUGGGCGUAAAGCGUGCGCAGGCGGUUUGUUAAGUCUGCUGUGAAAUCCCCGAGCUCAACCUGGGAAUUGCAGUGGAUACUGGCAGGCUGGAGUACGGUAGAGGAAGGUGGAAUUCCCGGUGUAGCAGUGAAAUUCGUAGAUAUUGGGAAGAACACCAGUGGCGAAGGCGGCUCACUGGCUCGUAUCUGACGCUCAGGCGCGAUAGCGUGGGGAUCAAACAGG